GAUUAUUUUAAUUAUUUUUUUUUAAUGGUGACGUGAAUCACACAGAAAAGCAUGUAAAAUUUAUUUUUAAUAACAAUAGCAAAUUUGAACACCUCUCAGGUAAAGAAAUAGAAUCUUAAAAGAUACCUGGAUUCCUCUUUUUUCCUCCUUUCUCCUAAAAGAAACCACGAUUCUAACAUUUGUAUUCAUUAAUAGUUUGCUUUUUUUGAUUUUGAAAAAAUUAAAUAGGAUAGGUGGCUGUAAUCUAUCUAUAUGAAAAUGCAGUAACUCCCCCUGUUAAGACUUCUGGGAGAAAAUAAGGUGGCUUCAGGUUCCCCAGGAAUUUACAAGAGCUCACUGUGAAAAUCAGUGGGCAGUUAUGUGUGAGUAUUCAAAAGAGUAAGGUUCACCAUAGUUAAGGCAUUUGCCAGAGCUAAUAUAUGAACCAGGUGCUGCCCUCCCAUAGGGACAUGUAACCACAGGAAGUGAGCUAAGUCUGUAUUUUCUGUUUCUAAGAUUAUUGUGGUCUUCCUCCAACUCAGAAAUAGAUCAAAGCAAAAACAUUUUGAUGGUAUAAAAUGAGAAAGAUUGGUCUAGACACCAUGACAUGCAUGAAAGAGCAAGAAUUUGGGACAUGGUUGAAACUAUUACAAUAAGAAUUCAAGCUAAGCUCACCAGGCAUUCUAUUCUCAGAUUAAAAAGAUGGUACCAUGGUGGUGGUGAUGGCUGUGUAGAGUCCAAUUGCUCCAGUCUGCACUGGUUGCCCUCUACGUGCAUGCACUGCCAUCCUGAGAUCACCCUAAUCAUUCUCCUCGGAGCUUCCUCUGGUUCUUUGCUCUUUGAAUUUCCCAUUGCCUGUAUCUCACUAUCCUCUUUCUUGAUUUAUUUGUGCUUUGAUAGAGAACACCCCCAGGUAGUUUUCUUGA